CCUUGCUCCUGGGUAUAAAAAUCCGUGGCUGUGUCCCCUGGAACCCAAACCAAUGUCACAGUGGUGCUCACCGUAGAACAGGACAUGUGCCGCCACCGCCGAACUCGCCUCGCCACCGCUUGGGAAUUUAUCCUGUUGGGUCUGGGGGCUUCGCCAGGGGGAGUAGACGACGCACCGGGUCUCUCUUGAUGGGAUUGCCGAUCGGGGGCCCCGCGAUUUCUUGCCGGUGCUUGGCCGCCGUCGUGGUGUCGCCAUACGCCGUGGCCAAGGCUUAUAGCUAUGCGAGUCACGGUAAGCCACCCACCCAUAUGUUCACGAUGUUACCCGCUUCGCGUAGCAUCUGUUAGUAUUAUCGUUCGGUCACCAGAGGCUGGGGACCUGCGUACGCCGGUGACCCGCCGCCAUGGUGCGCGUCCUGGCUUCCACAGCUGGAGUGACAGAGAUAGGAUAUCUGCGCCCGCCGUUGGAUGCGUGGUGAGCGGUGGAGAUUAGACGUGGGCUUACCUGUUGGGAGAAUAGGUCUAUGACCUCGAUUCUAGGAUGGGUGGCCACGAUUUGAUCAGGCGUACCCUUUCUUCUAAUAGAAUCAUGGCCGUGUGUCGUGGAUCGGAUGGAUUCAGGGCGAUCUCAUCUUCUUUAAAUCCUUGGUCUUGAUCUUAGAUCCAAGGGUUGCUGCUGCGUACCAUUUCGAUAUUAGGGUAAAUCUAAUCUGGGCCGUUGGUUUAGAUCUAGUGGUCGUAGUUGCGCAAUACCCUUUAGCUCCAUAGUUUUUACAUAUGAGUCCCUAGAUUUAGUGAAUAUCUACCCGCGGUCCCGCUCGGGGUUGACUGAGUCUGAGUAAAUCUUGCGGGAUAACCCCUGGCCUUUCCAGUAAUUGGCGCACAACCCAGAGAACCGAGAAAAUAGGAAAUUAAUUAUAGGAAUUAAUGUUUAAUACAAAAUAAUUCCAAAAACUCGUAUAAUUCAUAUUUAAUUCAUUUUAACUCCAAAUUGAUUCAUUCUAGUGGCAUUAAUUUUGUUUUAAUAUUGUUUAUCACCUAGUACCUUUGUUUAGCCAUGAAACUUGAAUUAAAAUUAUUCACUUGAAUUACUCUAUUUUAGGUACUAAAUAACUUUAGAAAUUCAUAACUAGAGAACCGUAACUCCGAUUUAAUCCGUCCGAAUUGCGUUAGAUUCAUAAUAAUAUCAUCUAUAUAGUAUGACACUAACAUUUAUCACACCACAUACUUUUAUUAUUAGAAAUUUAUCUAGCCUAUGUUUAAUAGAUUAACUCCUCUAAUCGAAGUUAACCUAUCCAUAAUUAUAAUUUGAUUAAAAUAUAAUAUCUAGUGAAGUUAUAAUUAAGAUUAAGGUUGAGUUAAUUGUUUAUAGAAUAGUCUCUCAUAUGAUAUACACUAACCAGUUUUGUAAUAUAAUUUAAUAUUUAAACCACAUAGAUCUACCAUAAAUCAUAAUUCUUUAACCGUAACCUGAUUUUAGUGUUUCGCGAACCCACGAUCUCGUAGCAACGCGUAGAUUAUUAUUAUGCAGUUUGUUCUUAUGUUUGGUUUGAUGUUAAUUAUGCCUAUAUCAUUUUUGUUUGUAUUGCUACGACUAGCAGAGAGGUUACGAGUCACCUGAAGAGCAAGUUGGUACCUGAAAUCUCAAGUACGUCCCAGGCAAGUUGUGCCCUUGACCACUUUUAUUUACCAAAUAAUGUUCUUUAUUAUCACUUAUUCAUGCAUAGGCUUAAUUUUGAUGGGACCCAAUAGGUCACCCUAGUUUGGUUAUCUUGUUACCUUGUCUACCCCUUGUAACACCUUAAAAUCUUAUUUCGAGAAUUAUGUAAAAGUUUUCCCUGGUGUUGAGUUAAAAUAUAAUUUUCAUAAGAAUUAUCUUACCUUUGAAACUAUACAUCCUAAAACAAUGUUCCCUAAUUAAAAAAAGGGAAUAAAGAAAGGAUCUCAGUAAUAAUUUGUUCCUUUGAUAAAUCAUAUCUUCUAGACUUUACUCUUAAGGAUUUUUUUUUAAAAAACUAGAACUAUAUUUCUUAAAAUACAUAUUUUGUGUGCACAUUUAAAAGCAUAAGCAUAAAUAAAUGAGAUGGGAAAUAAAUAACAUGAAAUUAUAUUAUACAUGAUCGGUUUUAUUUGUGUAUUUAAAAUUUAGUUUGAAAACUCAAAACACGUUUGAAUUCAAAAUCGAAGAUCUGAAAUAGGAAAAUUGAAAAUAGGAAAUAGGGAAAAUAUAUAUAUAUAGGCUGUUGGUAAUAGAAGCCAUGGGCUGCCGAUAGACAUGGGAAGCCCCAGCCAGGGUAGUGGUCACGCGUGUGGUCAGGUCGGGCCAGUGGGGCGCGUGAGUCCGCACGAUUGUGGAGCACGUUUAUGCAUGUGUAAACAUGUGUUAUAUUUUGCGUAAACAGAAGGUGCGCACGUGGUGGGGUCGAGUUGGGAUAUACGAAGGUGGGUCAGCGUCGUGUUCGCUGGUCGGGUAGUUGGUUCCUACUCGUGUUUAUGCUAGCAUAUUUAAUGGUUCAGACUUGCAUAACAUGAGAGUGGCAACGAAAUUUUCAUUGGUUCGUUCAGGUGGGUCCACACACCAUCGUGAUUAGCGCGCCCACGAAGUUAGAAGUUACCGUAUAUAUCGGAACAUAAGAUAUGGAGCUGAUCGUGCGUGGGAGUUCAGGCGGAUUUCAGCGUAAAACGUGAACCAAAACAGCAUAAAUGGGUAUAAAUUUUAGUGUAAACCAUCUAUCUAUUUCAUAACGAAAACAUGUAUGGAAACAAAAAAAAUUAAUUUAAAUGCUUUAUUUACUCCAUAAAUAUAGGAUCUCUCCAACAUCCGUGCAUCAAGGCUCAUUAUAACCAGUUUAUGAUAUAUACUAAUACUAGUUAUACAACACGGUGAAGUUAUUUAUGCCCUACGGUGGACUGCAUAAAAAUCGGUUUUCUACUGCAUGUGCACAAAUUUAGGAUGACAAUAAUGUGAGUUCAAAAAGAAAUGGAUCAGCAUACGCGAGAUUUAUGGAAUCAUGGCAAAUGAUCUCAUUUCUUAGAUCGGUUACCUUUUUCUAAAUUUCUAUUUUGUUGCAUAAAUGUGUGGGUCGUAAAUAUAUCUUAUACAUAUGGCAUAAAUGGUAGGAACCCAAUACACACUGGAUUAAGUAAACGAGAUAGUGCAUAAAAUCAAUAAAUCGUUUGCGUAAAAUAUGAAUAGAAAUAUCAUAAACAGACAAAUAGAUGGAAGUGGAGCCAUGAACCGAAAUAUAUGUCAUAAAAAUCUAUUGACAUUGGCACAAAUAUGUAUACAAAAUAGCAUAAAAAUAGGAUCGCCGCCCUGCGGAACCAGCGCCUCACAUCUGGGAUGCGCCACCACUUCGUGCUAGGGGAGGAUGUCGUCGUCGCUUGCGCCUAGAGAAAUCUGCCAUCGCUGCUCCCACCUUGGAUGGUAUCACAGUCGUACGCGCUCAGGGGUCGACCCUCGCGCGCAUGAAUCCCGACCCGUUGCACCAACCGCUCCCACCUCGCCGUCAUGAACGCCUUACGGAUGUCGUCGUUGCUCACAUGCCCCCGAGAUCCACCGUUGCGUCGCCGCAGUCGCUCCCACGUCACCGCCGUGCGCACCUCAAGGGGUCGCUGCCGCGUGCACCUUAGGGAGACGUUGUCGCGCUCGAGCCCCAUGGGAUCCGCCGUCGCGACCGCUGGCACAUCGCCGUCGUGUGCACCUCAUGGGGCCGCCGCCGCGUGCGUGCCCUCGGGAUCCGAUGCCGCAGCCGCUCCCACCUCGCCGCCGUGCGCGCCUCAGGGAUCCGCCGUCGCGCCACAAAUGCUGGAGCGGCGGCGGCGGUGGCCAUCGCAGAGACGGACGGGACAACCGUCGUUGUCACCGGGCCUAGGGUGCGCUGCCGUCGUCCGUCCGCUUCGAGAGCGCCGUCACCGCUUGCCCGCCUGCCUCGGCGCGUCGUUGUCGCUCGUUCCUGGUGGAGCGCCGCCGUCGGUCGCCUGCCUCGAGGUGACACCGCUACUGGCCCCCAGGAUCGCCGCCGCUCGCACGCCCGAGAGAAUCGCCGCCGCUGCUAAAACCUAAUCCCUGGCGGCGUGGGGGUGUUUUUAUAGUGGCGGCGUGGUAUUGGAUAAUUGUGAGCGCGUGGGCCGGAUCGUGGGCCCGAUGCACGUAAUAUGCGCAGACUAUAUUUGCAUAAACUGAUACACACAUUAGCAUAACUCGUAUUAUAAUUUGGCGUAAGCAGUUAGGUACAAUAAGCCAAAAAGGGUCCGGUGUGGUCGCGCACCUGGUCGGUACGUGGUCGGGGCUUUCUAUAGUUAAAUAGAGUCUAGGGAACUAAAUACAUAUACUAUAUAUAUAUAUAUAUAUAUAUAUAUAUAUAUAUAUAUAUAUAUAUAUAUAUAUAUAUAUAUAUAUAUAUAUAUAUAUAUAUAUAUAUAUAUAUAUAUAUAUAUAUAUAUAUAUAUAUAUAUAUAUAGGGACACGACCAUUUAGCUCAUUCACCCUUCUUCCGUCAACCCACAUCUGAUGUUUUUUUAUCCUUUGUUUAUUCCCUUGCCGUGAAUUUGCGUUAGCAAAUGCAUGGAAUGACAUCGUGGUGGUCACCAACUCUACUUUCGUGUGUCGCUGCAACAUGGCCUCGAGCCAGUUAGCUUCAUCGUGUAACGAACUCACGAAGCAGAGCGUAAUCGCUGGGCUGUUAGGAUUCGAUCCCAAGUAUAUUGUAACAAACUACCUCCGUAUCGUAACAACCCACCUGCAUGACCGCUGGCCAGCUAGUCGUUACGAUCCCAGCUCACAGUAUAAAAUACUUGAACUCCUUGCCAUCUAAUCAUGCCACCAGGGAGUAAAUAUUAGGAUGUUGUUGUCGUGCUUGAACCUGGAAGCAUGCUCCACCGGGACUUGGGUUCGGUCGAGCAACAACUAGUCUGUUGAUGACGCCAGUCGCCGGCUGCUGUUCGGAGGCUAGCAAAAGGGCGAGAGGGUUUGCUAGUACGUAUAGAGCGUGUGCGAGUAAGUCGCUGGAAGCAGGGCAUUCUGGGCUAUCCAAAUUGCUCACCGGAGUUCAUCGCGACGGCUGAUCCGCAUGGUUUCGUUUCCGUGGCCAGAUCAUAUGCCAAAUCUGCUAUGGGUAAGGUUCUCUCCCUGCUGUUCUAUCUUGCAUAAACGUUGAGUAGAGUUCAUCGGAGGGGGGAAGAUGGGGUCGAGGCAGGUGUGGCGGCGAUCCACAGCCGCAUUGAGAGCCAUGUCGCGCUGCUUUCGCCCGAGAAUGGCCAGCCUGGGGUAGGCGAUGCGAGAGAAUAGGAGGGUGCAGGUCUGGUCGUUGGAUGAUAGUUCGUCAAUGUGAUUAGAGGUAUGCAUACCGGUUCGCUGGAUUGAAACCCGACCGUAGACUCUUGAUCCAACAUCGACGAUCACAUACCAGUUCGAUUUAAAGCUAAUCUAAUCAAGCCCGUUGACGAUAGAUCGGAUCCACGUUAUAACAGUUGUGGCACAUUUGUAAAACAGUCCUUGAGUUUUACGAAAUAGGAUCCACCGUCCAGUAAUUAAAUUGGGAUUUCACAGUUUAGCCCCUAGAAGUCACUUUUAGGUAUAAAAUUAAUAUCAAAUAACCUAGAAACUUGUAUAAUCCAUAUCUUACACAUUUUUGGAUUUGAUUUAACCCGUUCAAGUUGUGAUAGCUUCGUAAUUAAAAUGCCUACGUAUUAACAUCAUUAUUUUAUCAUAUAACAUUUUUUCAGAAAUGACUAACUAACUUGUCUAACCUAUGUUUAUUUAAGUAACUCCCCUAAUCUGAGUUAAUGUAGCAUUUUAAUUUGGCGCAUUUAUAACUUGUCUAAAAUAUAUCCAUAAUCAAGUUAUAGCUUCAAUUAAAGUAAAAUUAUCUAUGUUUCUAUAAAAUUUUCUCACAUGGUUUAUAAUCAACAUAGGAUAUAAUUUUAUUGCUUAAUCACCUAAAACUUCAAAAAAUCAUAACUCUUUAAUCGUAACUCUGAAUUUAGUUGUUCUCGAACCUAGGUUUUCAUUUCGAUGCGUAGAAUAUUAUUAUGUAGUUUGUUCUUAUAUUUGGUGUGAUGUUAAUUUUGUCUAUACCAUGUUUGUGUGUAUUGCUACGUUUAGCAGUGAGGACACGUGUCAUCUGAAGAGCAAGUUGGUAUCUGGAAUCUCAAGUCCCAGACAAGUUGUGCCCUUGAUCACUUCCUUUUUACCCAGUCAUGUUCUUAUUAAUCAUAAUGAUCUGCAUAGGUUUAUUUUGAUGGGACCCAAUAGGUUACCCUAGAUUUGACUAUCUUUAUACCUUGUUUCACCACUGGUUUUACUACUAAAUUUUUGGGUAGUACAUGUUAUUGCUUUAUGUGGUUUUGGGUAUAGAGAUAUUCGUUACUCAUGAUUAUACUUUUUAUUAUCUGUUCAUUAUUUACUGUUCAUGAUAAAAUCAUUAUGUUAAUGUGAACAUGGAGAACCACCUGGGAAAACAAUGCUACCACAAGGGUUUAAUGGGACGCCCUUGGCUGAUUAACUAGGAAAGCUAGUGGAUGACUACCUUACCCAAAAGGGGCAAGGGCAGUAGGGGAGUGGUCAGUGUAGGGAGGUUCUUGGUUGAUUUUGCUGCGAUGGCGGUCAGGCGAGGGAUUCCUGCACUAGAGCUUCCUAUAAACUGUAGCGGGGUUUCUGAAGCUAGUGGAACUUUGUAAAGGCCUCGUAGUGUCACCCUGUCUCGCCUCCUCGGUAGAGGUGUAUGGGAUUGGCCGUCUCUUGGCAGAUGGGUAACAUGACUUGUGGGUAAAGAUGUGCAACCUCUGAAGAGUGUAAAACUGGUAUACUAGCCGUGCUCACGGUCAUGAGCAGCUUGGACACUCACAUGAUGAAUUUAUGAAACUAAAUUCAAUUUGUCAUAUGCAUUGCAUCGCAGGUGAUGUUGUUACUUCUGUUCUACUACUUAAUUGGGUUGGUAUUACUUAUACAUAGUAAUUGCUAAUAAAAUUUUGACCAACUUUAAAAGCAAUGCUCAGCUCUAACCAUCCUCUUUGGUAAGCCUUACACUUCACGUGAGCUCCCACCUUUGGCGAGUUCAUGCACAUUAUUCCCCACAACUUGUUGAGCUUUGAACGUAUGUGAGCUCACUCUUGUUGUCUCACACCCCUCACAGGUCAAGAACAGGUACCACAUGAUGAGGCGCAUGGAGGAUGCUGAGAUGAGUUCGUGAGAGGUCUAGGCCGUCGUCUCCCAGUCAACUUUGGGUUGCUGGACCGUUGUCUCCUUAUAAUGUAAUUAUUUAUUUAUUUUGUAUAGAACUCUUAUUAUAUAGUAAAGAUGUGACAUCCGAUCAUGUGCCAUGAUUCAUCAUAUGUGUGGGACUUGGUCCCAGCACACCUGGUGAUUAUGUUCGCGCCCGGGUCUUGGUGCCCCGAAACCCGAGUGUGACACCCCUGAACUAUUUGGGUAGUUUUGCUAUUGCUUUAUAUGGUUUUGGGUUUAAUAUUACAUUAUGCUCAUGUUCUAAUUA
rnacentral:lncRNA from 1 species